CGUGAGUGAUGAAGGCCUUCGGGUUGUAAAGCUCUUUUGUCAGGGACGAUGAUGACGGUACCUGACGAAUAAGCUCCGGCUAACUUCGUGC
rnacentral:rRNA from 1 species